AAGAAGGAAAUUCUGAAAACGAGCUGUCGACUAAUGCAAUUGGCCUAGUGAGAAAACGCGGCUCCUCGACAUGUUUACACGGAGAGCAUUUAAAACUGAUGAAACAACUAAGAAAUAAAAAACUGAAAACAGCUCCUACUAAAGCUUUGUUCAAUCCGUCCCGAAGAAGACCAGGAACGAACGUCAUGUUCGAACAAGGACGGCUUACUAUCUACGAAGAAGCAUGAAAAUGCGGAUUUAUAAAUAUUCUUAACGAAAAAACUGUAAAUCAUUGCGAUGAUUACGUAGCUAACACGUGGACGUUGCACACUGAUAUUUUCUCUCUUCGUCACGCGUUUGCGUGUCUGAGGUGACAUUCUGUAUGCAGAUAGAGACCUCGUCAAAUUAACAAAAACGAAUAAUUUACUUGGCAAUUAAUGCAUCAAGCAUGAGAUACAAUGUGCGAUCAUCGGCUAUUAUUAUAAGCUGACAGAAGAGCAACGCGAGACGCUCGCUCGGAA